UACGUAGGUGGCAAGCGUUGUCCGGAAUUAUUGGGCGUAAAGCGCGCGCAGGCGGUUCCUUAAGUCUGAUGUGAAAGCCCACGGCUCAACCGUGGAGGGUCAUUGGAAACUGGGGAACUUGAGUGCAGGAGAGAAGAGUGGAAUUCCACGUGUAGCGGUGAAAUGCGUAGAGAUGUGGAGGAACACCGAUGGCGAAGGCAGCCCCCUGGGCUGAGAUUGACGCUCAGGCACGAAAGCGUGGGGAGCAAACAGG
rnacentral:rRNA from 1 species